rnacentral:rRNA from 1 species
UACGUAGGGGGCAAGCGUUGUCCGGAAUCAUUGGGCGUAAAGAGCGUGUAGGCGGCCAGAAAAGUCCGCUGUGAAAACUCGAGGCUCAACUUCGAGCUGUCGGUGGAAACUUUCUGGCUAGAGUCCGGAAGAGGAGAAUGGAAUUCCUGGUGUAGCGGUGAAAUGCGCAGAUAUCAGGAAGAACACCGGUGGCGAAGGCGGGUCUCUGGGCCGAUACUGACGCUGAGGAGUGAAAGCGUGGGGAGCGAACAGG